GACUCCUCUCCGUAGCUUGGGGGUUAGGUCGCAAGGGUGCGGUGGCGGGGAACCCCGGUUCGAAACCGGCCGGAUCCGCCACUCCCGACGCGGCGGCCCCGCGUCCACGACCCCACCAGAGGCCGAGACCCAGCCGCGACGCGCGCACCCCAAAUACGGAGGGGAGUCUUU
rnacentral:ncRNA from 14 species